UAGGGAAUAUUGGGCAAUGGACGCAAGUCUGACCCAGCCAUGCCGCGUGCAGGAUGAAGGCGUUAUGCGUUGUAAACUGCUUUUAUACAGGAAGAAACGACUCUUGCGAGAGGCAUUGACGGUACUGUAUGAAUAAGCACCGGCUAACUCCGUGCCAGCAGCCGCGGUAAUACGGAGGGUGCAAGCGUUGUCCGGAUUUAUUGGGUUUAAAGGGUGCGCAGGUGGUUUAUUAAGUCAGUGGUGAAAGACGGUCGCUCAACGAUUGCAGUGCCAUUGAAACUGGUAGACUUGAGUAAAGUAGAGGUGGGCGGAAUUGAUAGUGUAGCGGUGAAAUGCAUAGAUAUUAUCAAGAACUCCAAUUGCGUAGGCAGCUCACUUGGCUUUUACUGACACUCAUGCACGAAAGUGUGGGUAUCAAACAGG
rnacentral:rRNA from 1 species